GGCCGCCUGGCGAAAUGGCAUCGCGUCUGACUACGAUCGCUCGGCUAAAAUAUGUUAUCAGGAGAUUGCAGGUUCGACCCCUGCGGUGGUCA